rnacentral:rRNA from 1 species
GAUGAACGCUGGCGGCGUGCCUAAUACAUGCAAGUCGAGCGAACAGACGAGGAGCUUGCUCCUCUGACGUUAGCUGCGGACGGGUGAGUAACACGUGGAUAACCUACCUAUAAGACUGGGAUAACUUCGGGAAACCGGAGCUAAUACCGGAUAAUAUAUUGAACCGCAUGGUUCAAUAGUGAAAGACGGUUUUGCUGUCACUUAUAGAUGGAUCCGCGCCGCAUUAGCUAGUUGGUAAGGUAACGGCUUACCAAGGCAACGAUGCGUAGCCGACCUGAGAGGGUGAUCGGCCACACUGGAACUGAGACACGCUCCAGACUCCUACGGGAGGCAGCAGUAGGGAAUCUUCCGCAAUGGGCGAAAGCCUGCCGGAGAAACGCCGCGUGAGUGAUGAAGGUCUUCGGAUCGUAAAACUCUGUUAUUAGGGAAGAACAAAUGUGUAAGUAACUAUGCACGUCUUGACGGUACCUAAUCAGAAAGCCACGGCUAACUACGUG